CAUAUCUGAGGAGAUUAACUUGUCAUCACGUUCAAUGCAGACAUUGUGAGCCAUAACUUGUACCUGUGUAUUGUUCCGUGUUCUGUGCCAGGAUUAGCCACAGACAAUCCUGCACUCCAUACCUAACACUCUGCCUUUCCUGGGAGUUACUCGUCUACCUGGUGUGACGACCUCAUUGAAAUUCCUACCUAUGACGCUCUCAGCAUCACGGUCCAGGAUGAGUCCAACUGCACUUCCAGCCACUCAAUGCCACCAGUUACGAGCUGGAACUGGACACGUUGCCCACAGGUGUAGUCAGCGGGAACACUGGAAGUUUCCCUGGUCUACCACUUCCAGCAGGAAGGGCACUGUCCUAGCUGCCGUCCUGGCUACAAUAAAGCAAAAGAGGAAAGUUAGAAAGAUUGUAUCUUACUUCUCCACAUCUCCGCUGAAGCCUUUGGUGAUAAAGCCUCAGAACUUUCCAUUCAUCAGCAUCUUAUGUGCUCAGUGUGUGUUCCGUCUGUGCGAAGUUUCGCAUCGGAGGUAGACACAACAUUCUGGAGUAACUCAGCGGGACAGGCAGCAUCUCUGGAGAGAAGGGUCUCGACCCGAAACGUGCCCCAUUCCUUCUCUCCAGAGGUGCUGCCCGUCCCGCUGAGUUACGGCAGAAUGUUGUGUCUACCUCUGAUUUAAACCAGCAUCUGCAGUUAUUCCCGACACAUUGUUUUACAUCGGCAUCGACCGCUGCUCAGUGGACGCAGGUCAUAGAUGCUGGAAUUUGAAGCAACAAACGAGCCGACCUUCACUUUGUUCAUUUGCCGACCGCAGGUGGGUCAGCUGGCGAGCUCUUCCCUGCCUCCCUUCUCCUGCCCGACCAUUUCUAACAAAAAUCCUAUAAGAUCUUUGAUUUCCAGCAUUUAGUUUUAUUUGGAAUUCAAAGUGCUGGCCUGGCUUCGAUGUCCGGUGUGUUGCAAACCACCCGCUGGGCCUGGGACGGUCUCGGGUGGGGCAACGUCAGUGGUGCCUGCCUGGCUGUGCGCGGCUCUGGGCGGCGAGUGGUCACAAGAGACCCCGGGACGUCAACGGGGCCCCGGGCUCAGGUGGCGGUCGUCGCCUGGAAGAUGAGGCCUUGUGGAUGUGGCUGCGGCGUCCCGCCUUAUGAUGAUAUCCCCACGGAAAGCCAACAAAGCCUGGCGGAAAGCAGCCUGGCUGGGGGCAUGUACGAAGGCGAACACAAAGUGGAUGUCAAGGUGGAGUACUGUGCCGGAUGAGGCUUCCUGGCGCGUUUCCUGUUCCUUGCCACUGAGAUUAAGGAGCAAAUUCCAGAGGCGCACAUCACCGGCUUCAUAGGACAGAAAGAUCCUCUCAAACUCUGUCAGGUUGGAUGGGGAGCGUCGAUGCACAGCUAUUUUCAGGUCCCUCCAGAGAUAUUCGAUGGGAUUCCAGUCCGGGCUCUGGCUGGGCCACUCAAGGACAUUGAAGGGCAGUGAAGAAAGCGAAUGACAUGUUGGCCUUCAUAACAAGAGGAAUCAUUGCGGCAGUGAAGGCAGCGAGGGAUGGAUUGAUGCAGAACGUUAUAAGUGGGGAGAACAUUACGAUCAAGAAGAAAACUUGCACUGUAUUAUAGCAGAGACUGAGGAACCUGACAUCAGUUUACGGUUCAGAUUGAUGAAGCUCCAUUCUGUCAAUGAUUGUUUUCCCCUAAAGCUGGUGGUGAAGACAUGAACAGAAAUCAGAAACGGUGCUUCCCCUGUUUGGGAUCUGCUGCAAACAUUGUCAUUGGUCAGUCUGUUGUACACAGAUAACCUGCUGUCAUAUUGUCACUUUCAUUAAAACUGAAUUUGUUAAACUU